GUGCAUGUGUGGGGUGUGUGUGUGUGUCUGACUGUGUACGUGGUGUGUGUGAGUGGGAUGUGUGAUCGACGCUGAUGUGAUGUGUGCAUGUGUGGGGUGUGUGUGUGUGUCUGACUGUGUACGUGGUGUGUGUGAGUGGGAUGUGUGAUCGACGCUGAUGUGACGUGUGCAUGUGUGGGGUGUGCGUGUGUGUGACUGUGUACGUGGUGUGUGUGAGGGGUGUGUGAUCGACGCUGAUGUGACGUGUGCAUGUGUGUGGGGUGUGUGUGUGUGUGACUGUGUACGUGGAGUGUGUGAUCGAUGCUGAUGUGACGUGUGCAUGUGUGGGGUGUGUGUGUGUGUCUGACUGUGUACGUGGUGUGAGUGGGGUGUGUGAUCGACGCUGAUGUGACGUGUGCAUGUGUGGGGUGUGUGCGUGUGUGACUGUGUACGUGGUGUGAGUGGGGUGUGUGAUCGAUGCUGAUGUGACGUGUGCAUGUGUGGGGUGUGUGUGUGUGCCUGUGUACGUGGUGUGAGUGGGGUGUGUGAUUGAUGCUGAUGUGACGUGUGCAUGUGUGGGGUGUGUGUGUGUGUCUGACUGUGUACGUGGUGUGUGUGAGUGGGGUGUGUGAUCGACGCUGAUGUGACGUGUGCAUGUGUGUGGGGUGUGUGUGUGUGUGACUGUGUACGUGGUGUGUGUGAUCGAUGCUGAUGUGACAUGUGCAUGUGUGGGGUGUGUGUGUGACUGUGUACGUGGUGUGUGUGAGUGGGGUGUGUGAUCGACGCUGAUGUGACGUGUGCAUGUGUGGGGUGUGUGUGUGUGACUGUGUACGUGGUGUGUGUGAGUGGGAUGUGUGAUCGACGCUGAUGUGACAUGUGCAUGUGUGGGGCGUGUGUGUGUUUGUGUACGUGGUGUGAGUGGGGUGUGUGAUCGAUGCUGAUGUGACGUGUGCAUGUGUGGGGUGUGUGUGUGUGUGACUGUGUACGUGGUGUGUGUGAGUGGGGUGUGUGAUCGAUGCUGAUGUGACGUGUGCAUGUGUGGGGUGUGUGUGUGUGUGACUGUGUACGUGGUGUGUGUGAGUGGGGUGUGUGAUCGAUGCUGAUGUGACGUGUGCAUGUGUGGGGUGUGUGUGUGCGACUGUGUACGUGGUGUGUGUGAGUGGGGUGUGUGAUUGAUGCUGAUGUGACGUGUGCAUGUGCGGGGGGUGUGUGUCUAUGUGUAGGGUGGCGGAAAGAGUUUCACCAAAUUUCUGCUGCUAAAGGUAUAUACUUACCCUAACCAACCUCACUCUAGGAGACUGUAAGCAACUGUUUACUGGGGCAAGAAGAUUCUAGACAACGCCUUGGACAGAUAAGGGGAAUACUUGCAGUGGUUGACCAAGUAAGCUACAUCGAAAACAGAGAUUAAUCCUGGUUCUUUGAACAGUGAGCCCCAAAAGGAACUUUUCAUCUGGUCCCUAGUUUAAGUAGAAGGGGGGUGGACUUUCAACUUGAGCUUUUUUUUUUUUUUUUUUUUUUUUAAAGAAAAGGUUAUUCACAGGAGAGGAGCUUGCUUAACACUGAACAGAACUGUUCCCUCACUCUCUCCCAGGUGCCCUGGGUAACUGAGAGACUUUUGUUACUAGGGUCGGCACGAGACCAAGGAAAAUAUCACCCUACUUGUCUAUUUAUAUAAAAUACUCCAACCAUUUCUGUGUCUUUAUGUUUAGGGGUAAUAGCCACACAGCAUAGAUGUUGAUGUUUCAUGCAUGUGAAAUAACACAGUAGAAACCUCCUUUAAAAAAUUACUUUUCUU
rnacentral:lncRNA from 10 species